AUGGCGAAUCACAGCGAGGAAGGCUUGAUUUUUUUUCGAUCUGCCAUCCGACGGCGUCCUUCCCCGAGGGCGGCGAGCCGGAGCUUCCCCUGCGCGUCGUCGACCACCUCCUCACUGGCUGGACGCCGUCGACCACGAACCCAGUAUUCUCCAAGCGCACGCCGCUGUGUGGGUCGCCGAGACGCCGAGGCCGAGGCGGAGCUCCAGGCCAUCGAGGUCGCGUACGCCGCCGAGUCCGGCAAGCGCCGCCAACUCCCCGACUGGUCCAAGGCACUCGCCCCCGCCUCCGUCUGCCCAUGGCCCAACCCAGUCCCCUCGCCCCCCUCUUGCCAAGUGGACUUCACAUUCCAAAGGAGGGACAGAAGAGCAGUCUACCUGACAAGGACAUGGCAUAGGUUGCAGACAAAUACUGAAAAUUUUGACUGGAGUAACAAAGGCAUAACAGUAGAAAUUACAGGUAUAGAUUUCUCUGUUCAACAAACUUCCUAUCAGUCCAACAAUGUUUCUGAAUCUAAACUUUUUCAGUUAACAGAACCUGAACCUGAACAUGUUCAGUUAACAGAACCUGAACUUUUUAACCUUCCCUCUCCCUUUCAGGCGAAUGUGGAUGUUGCACACUAUUGUGAAGGUGUAGCACUGCCCAAUUAA
rnacentral:rRNA from 1 species